AUGCCUCCCCCCGAGACUGUGCUUUCUUCUCCCCCUCAGUCCCCCCAAGGGCCUGAGGAGGAAGAUGCUGACAUUGACCGCCCAGACUCUGUUCUCUCUGCUUCGGUAGUCUCUCUCGGUCUCGACCUCUCUCCUCCUCACGAUGCGUAUGAGGCAGACCCGCCUUCUCCUACUGACAAUAUUCGUGCUUUCUCUGAUCAAAUGGUCAGAAUGGCCGACGCCCUGGGUUUGGAGAUCAAACAGACUUCCAAAGCAGUGUCUGAUCCAGUUUUCAAAAGGGUGCAGGCCCAAGCUCCGCCGGCCACGCUACUCCCUUUCCUGCCUUAUCUCUUGGAUGUUAUCCAGGCCUCCUGGAAAACCCCUUCCUCCAUUCCUCCGACCUCGAAGAGGAUCGAGACUUGGUACCGUACCGACGAUGAUACCUUGGAGCUCAAACACCACCCCGACCCCAACUCCCUGGUCGUCAAGGCCUCUCAAUCCUCAGGUUGUCAGUCGAACACUCCGGCCAACAGAGAAGGGAAGCGCUUCGACGCUGUGGGUCGAAAACUUUACUCUGGAGCCCUUUUGCUUUGCCGGAUGGCAAACUAUGCAGCCUGCAUGGGCGCCUACCAACAAAUUAUCUGGGAGAAGGCACAGCCCUUCUUCACUAAGCUGUCGGACGAAGACCGCUCCGUCCUUACUACCCUCCAACAGGAAGCUGACUCGCUUGCCCACCACCAAAUACAAAUGGCGAAGCAUACAGGCGAUACUGCGGGCAAGAUGAUUGCUCACGCGAUAUCCAUCCGUCGUCACGCCUGGCUGAGGUCUUCGGGUCUCUCUUCAUCUUCCAGACAGGUCAUUGAGGACCUUCCAUUUGAUGCACUCGGACUAUUUAACUCCGGUACCGACGACAAGCUCAAGUCUAAUCAUGACUUUAAAAUUCUUGCGUCUAAAUGUGGCGACCAACCGCAACCACAGCGCACCCGCUGGUUCCCUCACCGCUUCCGCCGCUUCCCGCCACAAUCUUUCCGACACCAUUCUUUCAAGCGGCCCUCGGGCUCGAACAAUCAAAGCCAUCACCAACCUCGUCGGGGACCUCAUCCGCAAAAGCAACGCGGUCGAACCACCCCCGCUCCUCCGCAGGCUAACCGGCGUGCCUGA
rnacentral:lncRNA from 1 species